GGAUAAGGAAAGUAAAAAAGGGCGCAUGGCGGAUGCCUUGGCUCUCGGAGGCGAUGAAGGACGUGAUAAGCUGCGAUAAGCUUUGGGGAGGUGCAAAUGACCUUUGAUCCAGAGAUUUCCGAAUGGGACAACCCAAUAUCUUGAAGAGGUAUUAUCUUACUAUGUAAGAGGCUAACGCAGCGAACUGAAACAUCUUAGUACCUGCAGGAAAAGAAAAUAAACAAUGAUUCCCCCAGUAGUGGCGAGCGAACGGGGAACAGCCCAAACCAUCCAUGUUACGGCAUGGGUGGGGUUGUAGGACUACGCCGUUGCAUGAAGACAUCAGAGAAGAACUUUCUGGAAAGAAAGACCAUAGAGCAUGACAGUUGCGUAUUCGAAUGUUGUCGAAGCAUAGUAGUAUCCUGAGUAGCGCGGAGCACGAGGAAUUCUGCGUGAAUCUGCCGGGACCAUCCGGUAAGGCUAAAUACUCCCGAGAGACCGAUAGCGAACCAGUACCGUGAGGGAAAGGUGAAAAGCACUUCGAACAGAAGAGUGAAAUAGUUCCUGAAACCGUGCGCCUACAAGCGGUCGGAGCUCGUUAAUGAGUGACGGCGUGCCUUUUGCAUAAUGAACCUACGAGUUGCCUUUGCCGGCAAGGUUAAGUGUGACGACACACGUAUCCGAAGCGAAAGCGAGUCUGAACAGGGCGUAUAGUCGGCAGUGGCAGACGCGAAACCAAGUGAUCUACCCUUGGCCAGGUUGAAGGCUGGGUAACACCAGCUGGAGGACCGCACCAAUAAGCGUUGAAAAGCUUCUGGAUGAGCUGAGGGUAGGGGUGAAAGGCUAAUCAAACUUGGAGAUAGCUCGUACUCCCCGAAAUGCAUUUAGGUGCAGCCUUGCGGGUUACUGAUGUGAGGUAGAGCGACUGAUAAGAUGCGAGGGCUUCACCGCCUAUCAAGUCUUGACAAACUCCGAAUGCGCAUCAGUUCUACCGCAGGAGUGAGGGCAUGGGUGCUAAGGUCCGUGCCCGAGAGGAGAAGAAUCCGGACCACCUGCUAAGGUCCCGAAAUGACAGCUAAGUUAAACUAACGAAGUCUGACUGCUAAGACAGCUAGGAUGUUGGCUUGGAAGCAGCCAUUCAUUUAAAGAGUGCGUAACAGCUCACUAGUCGAGGAGUCGGGCGUGGAUAAUAAUCGGGUAUCAAGUUGUCUACCGAAGCAGUGGGAUCAUUAAUAUGAUCGGUAGGGGAGCAUUCCAGUCGGCGUCGAAGGCGUACCGUGAGGUAUUCUGGAGCGUCUGGAAAAGCAAAUGUAGGUAUAAGUAACGAUAAAGGGGGCGGGAAACCCCCUCGCCGAAAGACUAAGGUUUCCUGAUCAACGCUAAUCGGAUCAGGGUCAGUCGGGUCCUAAGGCUCAGCCGAACGGCGAUGCCGAUGGCAGAAACGGUUAAUAUUCCGUUACUACCUUCAGGAGUGACGUGGAGACGCAGUAGUGACAGUGCCGCCAUCUGACGGAAUAGAUGGUUGAAGGGUGUAGGAGUCGAUCAUGGCAGGCAAAUCCACCAUGAGAUCCGAACCUGACAGUAUGCCGCGUCCUUCGGGACAAGGCAAUAGUGCGCGUAAGCAUGCUGCCGAGAAAAUCCGCUAAACUUAAUCCUGCAGGUACCCGUACCGCAAACGGACACACGUAGUCGGGAUGAAUAUUCUAAGGCGCUUGAGUGAUUCACGGUUAAGGAACUAGGCAAACUGACCCUGUAACUUCGGGAUAAAGGGUCCCUACCCUUUUAUGGGAGGGCGCAGAGAAUCGGUCCAGGCAACUGUUUAACAAAAACACAGGGCUGUGCCAAAUCGAAAGAUCCAGUAUACAGCCUGACACCUGCCCGGUGCUGGAAGGUUAAGAGGAGAUGUCAUCGAUAAGAGAAGCGUUGAAUUGAAGCCCCAGUAAACGGCGGCCGUAACUAUAACGGUCCUAAGGUAGCGAAAUUCCUUGUCGGGUAAGUUCCGACCUGCACGAAUGGUGUAAUGAUCUGGACGCUGUCUCAACCGUGAGCUCAGUGAAAUUGUAGUAUCGGUGAAGAUGCCGAUUACCCGCGAUGGGACGAAAAGACCCCGUGAACCUUUACUAUAGCUUAUCAUUGAAUCUGGGCACGUGAUGUGUAGGAUAGGUCGGAGGCUUUGAAGCAGGUACGCCAGUAUUUGUGGAGCCGCUGUUGAAAUACGACCCUUUAUUUGUUUGGAUUCUAACCCGUGGAACGGGGACAUUGAUUGGUGGGUAGUUUGACUGGGGUGGUCGCCUCCAAAAGCGUAACGGAGGCUUCUAAAGGUGCCCUCCGGCCGAUUGGUAACCGGCCUUAGAGUGUAAUGGCAUAAGGGCGCUUGACUGGGAGACUGACAAGUCGAUCAGGUAGGAAACUAGAGCAUAGUGAUCCGGUGUUUCCGUAUGGAAGGGACAUCGCUCAAAGGAUAAAAGGUACUCCGGGGAUAACAGGCUGAUCCCUCCCAAGAGCUCAUAUCGACGGAGUGGUUUGGCACCUCGAUGUCGGCUCGUCACAUCCUGGGGCUGGAGAAGGUCCCAAGGGUUGGGCUGUUCGCCCAUUAAAGUGGCACGCGAGCUGGGUUCAGAACGUCGUGAGACAGUUCGGUCUCUAUCUAUCGUGGGCGCAUGAAAUUUGCGUGGCUCUGACACUAGUACGAGAGGACCGUGUUGGACAGACCUCUGGUUUGCCGGUUGUGCCGCCAGGUGCAUUGCCGGGUAUCUAAGUCUGGAUCGGAUAAGUGCUGAAAGCAUCUAAGUACGAAGCCGGCCACAAGAUUAGAUUUCUCAGGGUCGUUGUAGACUACGACGUUGAUAGGAUGCAGGUGUAAAGAUGGAGACAUCAAAGCCGAGCAUUACUAAUUGCCCGUUCACUUUCUUUA
rnacentral:rRNA from 1 species